rnacentral:tRNA from 1 species
GGGGUUGUAGCUCAAAGGUAGAGCGCUUGCCUUGCAUGUGUGAGGCACUGGGUUCAAUCCUCAGCACCA